GGCGCUAUCCCUCCUGAGCUAAACCGAUAGAGAAGGGUGUGUCGUUGGAGGUAUGAGGGCUAAGGUGUGAUGAGUGCUUUAGCAUAACAUCUCUUUUAUGCCCGUUCACGUACUUCAGAGACAAGGCCCGUCUGUCAUAACUCAAGGGCUUCGCACCUUCGUGUAAGCCCUUGUUGUUUUGUCUAUCACUCCUGAGCUA
rnacentral:siRNA from 1 species